CUGUGAAUUUUACUCAUUUUGUGAAGGGAAAUGUGUUUUACCUUUAGAGGAAGCCCUCCGAUUUUUUGGCUGCUCAUGGUGGGCCUUGCAGUUAUUCCCGUGACCUGAUGAUACUUGGCUUCUGAGAUUUUUCCCUUCAGCAGACUCCAUGAACUUUAUUUCAAGAUCAGCCUGUCUGUUUCACAGGACCGAGCUCCUUCCAGACCAUCGUAUGGGAAAUGUCAGCCCCUGUCAACAUCCCUAACGUUUAAAUUCCUGGGAUACCAGAGAUAUUCAGAGAGAACUGCAUGCACACAUUACUCUCCCAAACACUCUCGGGAAGAGGCGAGGUGAGGUCUUCUCAACGCUUUUGUAAUAGAGACAUAGGCCAAUAACUAGAUUCUAUAGAUCAGGAAUCAUGUCCUUGCUGAAGAGUUGAGCAGACCUGUAUAACGCAGAAAGAGGUAUAAGGCUGAUCAUCUAUUUGAUAAUUUUUUAUUGAUAGUUUGGAUCAUUCAUCCAAAACCGAUAGCCUUCCGCUGACUAUUUUCCAUCCAAAAGCUUGAGAAAGACAUUCCUGUGGUGGAAGAUGGCAUUCUGGGCUUCUUCAUCAAAAGGACCUCAGAUUUAUUCCCGUGACAAAGGCCACCUUCGCCCAAGCGAGGCUGUCUGGAGAUGGCCUAAGUGUGACAUUCUCCGAAGAGACAUCUCUGCGGAAGCCUGUCCUUCUGCCGGGCUGAUGGGGCUGCCAGCCUACGAGCUUGACCUCUGUGGCAAAUGAGCCUCCUGGUCAUUCCAUGUGAACGUGUGAACUUGUCCUGUGAUCUUGCUUGCCUGAGCGCCUCACAGCUGACUCAUAAGAAAUUUUCGAGGUUGUUUGCUCUGUCCCAGAGAAUCAUUCGCCAUGCUGGCCAGCAUGCAGGGGCCAAUGCUUUGAUCUGCUUUGCAGGACUUACUGUCAUUUGCAGAGUGCUAAAAUUAAGCUUGGCAGCAGCCCACGGAGGCAGAAGGCUCUGUCCUGCUGACCAAGGGGCAGCCUGGAGUCACACAGACAGGCAGGAGACAGGUGAAGCAGACGCUGGGAAAAGAUGCCAUCGCAGAACAGAUAGGAAGGGCUGUGACUGCGCGUCUGGAACAAGCCAGAUCUGUUCUUAUUUACCUGUCAGCCGGGAGAAUGCCCAUCUCACAGAGGGCCAUUGCUAG
ensembl:lncRNA